GUCCUAGAGCUGUGAAUGAACCCAGGCCCUGCAGGAGCAGCUAAAGAUGUAACAGAAGAAUCGAUAACGGAAGAUGACAAGCGGAGAAACUAUGGAGGGGUAUACGUAGGUCUACCAUCUGAAGCUGUCAAUAUGGUAUCCAGUCAAACAAAGACCGUACGAAAAAAUUAGAAGAAAAUACCAUGACUCCAUAAUCAAGAGCUUGCUCAUUAAGAUUUGGAAGGAUUUGCACUCCCUGGGCCAUCAUGAUGUGCUCAGAAAUUUCCAAGGACAUUCUAAAUAGUCGCCCGCUCCGCCUCCCCUCCCCACCCAAAUUCUCAAGUCUGUAGUUGAAACCGUGGGUACAUGUUGAACGUUGUGGUACUAGAAGGGAAUCGGGUAAACAGUACGCGGGUAUCUGGAACUUUCUGGGGUCCUCCUGCAACAGACAAGCUGACAAACUGUUGCUGUCUGGAGCCGGCCUGCUGUGUCUGGUGGCGUUUUCUCCCUGGCCAUUCAACACAGCUCAUGAAAAUCAUGUCUUUUCACUGAUACUUUUUUGAUAGUUUUUAUAUAAUGAAAUCCGUAUUCUAUUUAUAACUUCAGCUAAGAAGGCACUAUAAAUGAACUCCCUAAAGUAAUAUAUUUGUGGGUUACCUUUCACUAUUUCUACGUUACAUUAAUUUUUAGCUGUAAAAUGGUUAAAUUGAUUCUUACUGUUCUCUUUUUCCCUUUUUAACUUUUUGGUUUUCAGCUUUCUGUAAGUGUCAGAGAAUGUCUUCUGUUAGGAACAAUGUAUGACCUUGCAAUGUUGAAAAAUAAGCCACCGAAAUUUGCAUGCCCUACGCACGUUUUGAUUAACUUUCCAUUUUUUUAGUCGAAGGCUGAUGUCAGCACGAAUCCUUCGCAGUCAUUGAUUCUCUCCUUCUCCUUUGUGGGAUCCCGGCAUCCCCAUCAUGUUAAUCCUAUACUAUUUUCAAGGACUUGUGACUGAUGGUUAGUGGGGUAUUUGGAAAGCUCUUAUUUUGAGGAUAAUCACGUGUAGCCAUUUAGUACUGCAGUGUAGAUUACUCGAUUUACUAAUGUAUUUCAACAAUUAAAACAUUUUUAUCCCUCUUUACCUGGAUUUCGUCAUUGUUUUUUAAAAGAUCACUUUGAAAGAAGUCACACAUGGCAUUGUGGUAUCCAGAUACUAUAUCAAUAUGUAAAGCUAAUGAAUAAAUAGGUUACCUUGAAAAACGAAAAUUUUUCAUAAGAAGGAGAAGAUUAUCUUAUAAAUCUGGUCCAUAUGACAGCCGUAGGGAUAUCAGAUUGGGAGAAUAUCGAAGGAGAUUUUCUGAGCAGGUGGUGAGAGCUGAGCCUUGGAUCUUGCUUGGAGCGGUUGCUGGCUGUACCUGGGGUGUGACGAGCCAUGGGACCCAGCUCCGAGGAGAAAGUAAAGCAAACCUAGGAGAUCUGCUUGGUCCUAAUCGCUGUUGUCAAUAUUUUAUGAAGACGGUUGAUCUGGAGGAGGUUCAAGAUGGCAAUGUAAAAGGAUGCUGGCCUCAUCUCCUCCCACGGACACAACACAUCUACAGCCACAAACCUACAGCUACAUACAGAGGACCUGCGGGCUAGCUGAACAGCAGCUCCACAGCAAAGGGUGGAGAUGAGUGGGAGGGGCGGGGGCGUGAUCGCGCAAGAAACCCCAGUCUUGGCACAGAGACCAGCAACUGGGAGGGAUCUCAUUAAUACAGAGCUGGUCCCUGAGGAGCGAGGGGUCUGUGCGCCACAUCAGACACCCAGCCCUUGGCAACUGCAUCAGAGGGAUGAGCCCCCAAAGCACCUGGCCUUGGAAACCCACAGGGCUUAACUGCCAGGGGAACCACAGGGCUUAAGGGAAUGGAAAAUCCACUCUUAAAGGGCUCACGUAUAGACCCCCUUAUCCCAGGACCCAGCACAAAAGUAAGUUUGAAAGAUGCCCAGAGCGCAUGCUUAGGAGAAACACUUGUUAAUCUUAGAGUGUCUGCUAGAGAGACAGGAACCUGUUGGGACACUCUGGGGACAGAGGUGCUGGCCAGACACCAUUUUUGCAUUCUCCUUCUGCCUUGUGGGACUAGUGCUGGUAUGUGCUCGCCAUUUUUGUACACCCCUCCCACCCCAGCCUGCUAGCUCUGGUGGAAGUUUCCUGCCCCCCCAUGCACCACAGCCAAGGCUAACCCUGCCCUGGGGCAGGGGAGGGGAGUACUUUCCCCCAUGGCCCACCCUGCCAGCCACAGGGCAUGUGCACCCCACACUGGGGACACCCCUUGAGCCCCUGGCUCUGGUGGCCAGGGAGGAUUGUGCUUCUGGAAACCCUGGGCCUGAAACAAACAGAAGGCCUUGACAGGUUACCACCCCCAGGCCACUGCACAAGCAGCAGGCUGAAACAACCCCCCUCCCCAGCAUUCAUGUGAAAGAGGCAUAUUUUCUCGUCCUGAGCUUUUGCCUAAGGGGCAGGCUUCAGGUUUGCCAUAUAUUCCUAGGCCACAGAGGCAUCCGCAGGGAAGAUGGGCAGGGAGAUAGCCACAUUAGUGCUCUCCCGCGGCUGCAGAGCAGCUCACUGAUGCCUCCCUAAAAGGAGCUUGUAUACAUCUAAAGCCACAAGCUCUGCAGUUGUCGCCCUGGGGACACCUCCAGAUUUCUUGGUCUGGAAGUCAGCAGAGUUCAGGACUGCAGACCCACAAGACUGUGUCUGUUUGCAUACCUUGAAAGCGGCUGCCUGUGGAUCUGGCUUACUCCAUACCUGAAAGAACUAGAAAAAGAAUAAAUGACGCCCAAAGUUAGUAGAAGGAAGGACAUAAUAAAGAUCGGAGAGGAAAUAAAUGAAAUAGAGAUGAAAAAGGUAACAGAAAAGAUCAACGAAAUGAAGAGCUAGUUCUUUGAAAAGAUAGACUGAUGAACCUUAAGCAGGAUCACCAGUUAAAAAGACAGGGCUCGAAUGAAUAAAACAAAAAAUGAAAGAGAAGUUACAACUGAUACUAUGUAAAUACAAAGCAUCAUAACAGACCACUACAAACAGUUAUAUGCCAACGAACUGCACAGUCUGGAAGAAAUGGAUAAGUUCCUACAAACAUACAAACAGACUGAAUCUUGAGGAGGUAGAAAAUCUGAAUAAACCAACUGCUAGGCAGGAGAUUGAAUCAGUAAUCAAAAACCUCCCAGCAAACAGAAGUCCAGGACCAGAUGGCUUCACUGGUGAAUUCGGCCAAACACUCAAAGAAGAUAAAAUACCUAUCCUCAGACAAGAACGCCACAGAGAAGAAAAUUAAAGACCAGGCCAAUAACCCUGAUGAACAUAGAUGCGAAACGUCCUCAACAAAAUACUAGCAAAGCAGGGAUGCCUGGGUGCCUCAGUGGGUCAUGCUGCUGCCUUUGGCUCAGGUCAUGAUCUCAGGGUCCUGUGAUCGAGUCCUAUGUUGGACUCCCUGCGCAAUGGGGAGUUUGCUUAUCCCUCUCCCUCCUUGCCUUUGCUCUCUCUGUCUCUCAAAUAAAGAAAUAAAAUCUUUAAAAAAAACAAAAACUAAACAACAGUACUUUAAAAGGAUUGUACGCCGUGAUCAAGGCUGCUUGAUCUCAGAGAUGCGAGGAUGUCAACGUCCACACAUCAGUCAAUCUGGUACAUCACGUUAACAUUAAGGAUAAGCUGUUGUGUGGAAAGAAGCACGAGCGAUUGGCCAGGAGACUCCAGGGCAAGUGCGGAGGGAGAGCUACCUUAGUCCCUCACGACUCAGCCCUGGCCCCAGUCUGCACAGGCAGUGUGACUUGGUUUCUCUGGAAGAAAUUCACAGCCCUGUGAUAAAUUCCCCCCUUCACUUUAGCUUAUGUUGGUUUCUGUCCCUGGAAACCAAGACACAGUCUCACUCUUCCAUUUACACUGCCUACCACCCUGGUCUCCACUCUCACGGACCUAGAAUUUUAUAAAAGCCUGUGGAACUUUAACAUGAAAAAAAUAUAUAUUGAAGUAAGAAUUGGUAAGACAUGGUCCUAAUACAGUCCUGUCCCAUAAUGGCAUUUAGGGGGGACAUCAGCAGCUUAUCCCAUUAGGGAGAGCAGAUUACUUUUGGAAAACUUUUAAUUUUGAAAUAAUUUUAGAAUUACCGAAGAGUGUAAAGUUAGCACAGACCAUUGCUAUAUGCCCUUCAUCCAGCUUCCCCUACUGUGAACAUCUUGCAUAAACUUGUCAAGACUAAGAAAUUAAACAUUAAUGUAAACUAGACUACAGCCUUUCAUUGGAUUACUCUAGUUUUUCCAUAAAUGUCCUUUUUCUGUUCCAGGACCCAGUCUGAGAUUUCAUCCCAUUCCCUUGUAUUUGGUCGUCCUGUCUCCUUAGUCUUCCUGUCCUGACGAUUCCUCAGUCUCACUUUGUUUUUUGUGACCCUGACCCUGAAGCCUCCUGAUAGAUAUUUUGUAGUAUUUCCCUCCAUUUGGAUUUGUCCGAUGUUUUCUUAUGAUUAGACUGGGGUUAUAGAUUUGGGGGAAGAAUACCACAGAGGCGAUGUGUCCCUUCAUCACCUAUCCCAUCUCACGAUUUCACCGUCACUUGUUGCUGGCGAUAUUAACCGCAAUCAACCGGUAGGUUAGGGGGGACAUCUGUUAGGUUUUUCCGCUGUAAGGUUCCUAGUUUUUCUUUUCCUUCUCUGCCCUUUGUAAGUGAGUCACUAAGUUUAUAGCAUACUCAAAGGAAAGGAAUUUUUAGACAUUUGUUAAAAGCACUAUAGUCAUAAGGAUUUUGAGGGAGAUACUUGGAGACCUCAACAAUGUCUGGUUUCUCCUUAAAGGUUUGCCCACGAAUUUGAGCAUUCACCCUCGGGUGUUGCCUGCAGGACUGAUUACUGUGGUGGUCUGGUGGUGAUAUUCUGCUUCCCUCGUUCCUUUACGUGUCUUCUCUAAGGAAGAUUUACCCCUUCUCCCCUGUUUACUUACUUAUUCAAUCAUUUAUAUCAGCAUUGACUCAUGGGUAUUUAAUUGUUCUUAAGGUUAUAAUCCAGUACUGUCACUAUUGCAUUGCUCAAACUCUUUGAGCUUUGACCAUUGGUCAUUUGUUCAGGUUGGUUCUUGACAUGGCCUGAACUUCCCCCCAAGCCCCCCAUCCUUAGAUUGACUUUUAAUAGCAAGCUGGCCUAUCAAAUAAAAAUCUAAUUCAAAAGUUAAAACAUAUUCCUAAAACUUCAUCAAAUUUUAUUAUAAAUGAAUAGUGUUUUCCAUAUUAUGACAAGUCUUAACAUUUUCUUUCAACCAGAUGUUAUUUAAAUUUAGAACCUUGUGAUUCUUAACAUGCUAAUAAUUCUUGCCACCCACUUACCUCUGUCUUAAAGCUAAUGAUUAUAAUCUCUAUUAAGCACUUUAAGAAUCUUGAGCGAAAGACUUAAAGAAGGAGAACUAUUAACAUUUAAGAUCUUUCAAAAGAAAAGUGAGAGAUUAGCCAAGCCUUAAAAAUGCCUGAAAUUUAAGAGGUAACAUCUUUUCAAACAAUAUAUCCUGGUUCUUUGCAAGAUCAUUAUUAAAAAUGUAUAUAUAUCAGGAGAGGUGAGUUUCAGAGAAUUUCUGAUUAAUAGACUAGAGAAGGUUUUCUUGAGCAACUUUCUAAGCUAGGAGACAUUUAUUCCUAGUCUUAGUUAAGAAAGACUGCUUGAGUUUGGUUUUGGAAGAUACUGCUCGAAUCUGGAAUGGAAAAGUGGUUUUGGCAAGUACAACCAACUUCUGGGGUGUUACGGGAGAACGGCAGGCCUAUAAACUGAGUUCUUAAAAGUGAUCUGGAGUGGGCUUUGGGGAGAGGCAGAAUGAUACAGGAUGCUGAGUCAGCACAAGGGAGAAGCUGUCUUUGGGUGUUUGAAUUGGCAAGAGCUUGAAGAGGAAAAGAAAACAGCUUCAGUUUUGCAAAUGGGAGCAGGGUUAUGGGGAAUUUCAGGAGGGAGAAGUUAGGUAAGAGACCUUCCCAGGAAGAUAUUUGCUUCUUUAUACUUGAUACAUGCGACACAUUAAAGCAGUACCAAGUGAUGUGCUUUUUCCAUAGAUUGCGUUCCAGUACCCGGUUCUGAUUUUCAGUUGCUUAUCAACCAUCACCGGUCAAUUCUUGCCGUGUUGCAGAAUUGGGCCCCAUAGACCCACACUAUGAAGAAAUGGCCUUACGUUG